UGGGGAAUAUUGGACAAUGGGCGAAAGCCUGAUCCAGCCACGCCGCGUGUGUGAUGAAGGCCUUCGGGUCGUAAAGCACUGUGGGGAGGGAAGAAAAGCCGACGGUUAAUACCCGGCGGAAUUGACGGUACCUCCUUAGCAAGCACCGGCUAACUCCGUGCCAGCAGCCGCGGUAAUACGGAGGGUGCAAACGUUGCUCGGAAUUAUUGGGCGUAAAGCGCGUGUAGGCGGUCGACUAAGUCGGAUGUGAAAGCCCUGGGCUUAACCUAGGAAGUGCGUUCGAUACUGGUCGACUUGAGUACGGGAGAGGGGAGCGGAAUUCCCGGUGUAGAGGUGAAAUUCGUAGAUAUCGGGAGGAACACCAGUGGCGAAGGCGGCUCCCUGGACCGAUACUGACGCUGAGACGCGAAAGCGUGGGGAGCAAACAGGAUUAGAUACCCCCGUAGUCC
rnacentral:rRNA from 1 species